AAUCAACGCUGGCGGCGUGCCUCAGACAUGCAAGUCGAACGCGAAAUUUCCCUUCGGGGAGAAAGUAGAGUGGCGCACGGGUGAGUAACACGUAGGUAAUUUGCCUUUGGGUGGGAAAUAACUCAGGGAAACUUGAGCUAAUACCGCAUAAUGCAGCGGCUCGACAUCGAGACAGUUGUUAAAGCGGGGGAUUGGAGCAAUCCGACCUCGCGCCUAAAGAGAAGCCUGCGGCAGAUUAGCUAGUUGGUAAGGUAAUGGCUUACCAAGGCGACGAUCUGUAACCGGCCUGAGAGGGCGGUCGGUCACACUGACACUGACAUACGGGUCAGACUCCUACGGGAGGCAGCAGUCGGGAAUUUU
rnacentral:rRNA from 1 species